rnacentral:lncRNA from 1 species
UGAACGUGAAAGACAUUUAUUGUUGAAAAUGGAUUUUUUUAUUCAUAUGCUUAUCUAUACUUAUUCUGUAGAUGAUACUUCUUCCAUACCGUCGUGUAUGCGCACAUCAUAUUUUGUUUCUCUUGUCUUUUAUCUAUAGGAUCACUAGGAGAUCGAAAAGAUAAAAGUUAAAAAAGACCAUGUGAUUCUCUAAACAUAACCCUCA